rnacentral:rRNA from 1 species
AUACGUAGGUGGCAAGCGUUGUCCGGAUUUAUUGGGCGUAAAGCGAGCGCAGGCGGUUUCUUAAGUCUGAUGUGAAAGCCCCCGGCUCAACCGGGGAGGGUCAUUGGAAACUGGGAGACUUGAGUGCAGAAGAGGAGAGUGGAAUUCCAUGUGUAGCGGUGAAAUGCGUAGAUAUAUGAAGGAACACCAGUGGCGAAGGCGGCUUGCUGGGCCAUUACUGACGCUGAGACACGAAAGCGUGGGGAGCAAAUAGGAUUAGAUACCCUGGUAGUCCACGCCGUAAACGAUGAGUGCUAAGUGUUGGAGGGUUUCCGCCCUUCAGUGCUGCAGCUAACGCAUUAAGCACUCCGCCUGGGGAGUACGACCGCAAGGUUGAA